ACUUGUUGGGACUGGGAGGGCUCAAUGCAUAUCUAAGUAGGAGAUAAUUUGCUUGCAGAUUAUAUCCGGGUGUUCCUGAUGCUCUAAAAUUUGCAAGCUCAACCGUAUACAUUGUCACCACAAAACAGAGCCGAUUUGCUGAUGCUUUACUGCGAGAACUUGCAGGAAUUACAACACCGCCUGAAAGAAUAUGUCUUGGAAGUGGUCCCAAGGUAGAAGUAUUGAAGCAGCUUCAAAAGAAACCAGAACAUCAGGGGCUGAAACUGCACUUUGUCGAAGAUCGACUGGCAACCCUAAAGAAUGUGAUCAAAGAACCUGAAUUGGAUGGUU